UACGAAGGGGGCGAGCGUUGUUCGGAUUUACUGGGCGUAAAGGGCGCGCAGGCGGCGAUUUUUUGUCAGGCGUGAAAGCCCCGGGCUCAACCUGGGACUGCGUUUGAUACGGGGAUUGCUAGAGAUCGGGAGAGGAGAGUGGAAUUCCCAGUGUAGAGGUGAAAUUCGUAGAUAUUGGGGAAGAACACCGGUGGCGAAGGCGGCUCACUGGCUCAUUUCUGACGCUCAGGCGCGACAGCGUGGGGAUCAAACAGG
rnacentral:rRNA from 1 species